CCCUUAGAUGUUCUGGGCCGCACGCGUGCUACACUGAGUGGAUCAGCGGGUCAGGUUGCGCGAAAGUGUUUCCUAAUCUUUAAAUCCGCUCGUGAUGGGGAUUGACGGUUGCAAUUUUCCGUCAUGAACGAGGAAUACCUUGUAAGCGCGGGUCAUCAUCCCGCGCUGAAUACGUCCCUGCCCUUUGUACGCACCGCCCGUCGCUCCUACCGAUUGAGUGGUCCGGUGAGGCUUUGGGAUCUGAGCGGAAAGAGCGUUUCGCUGUUUCUGCUCGGAAAACUCAGUCGAACCUUAUCAUUUAGAGGAAGGAGAAGUCGUAACA
rnacentral:rRNA from 1 species